CACGCCGUAAACGAUGGGUACUAGUUAUGUCGGGUGUUGACCCCCGGCGUGACGCAGCUAACGCGCUAAGUACCCCGCCUGGGGAGUACGGCCGCAAGGCUAAAACUCAAAGGAAUUGACGGGGGCCCGCACAAGCGGUGGAGCAUGUGGUUUAAUUCGACGCAACGCGCAGAACCUUACCCGGCCUUGACAUCUCGGGAAUUCCCCCGAAAAGGGGAAGUGCUCUUCGGAGAGCCCGAAGACAGGUGC
rnacentral:rRNA from 1 species